rnacentral:rRNA from 1 species
UACGUAGGGGGCAAGCGUUGUCCGGAUUUAUUGGGCGUAAAGGGCGCGUAGGUGGUUGUGUAAGUAACGUGUGAAAUCCCUCGGCUUACCCGGGGAAUUGCAUGUUAUACUGCAUGACUUGAGGAUCAGAGGGGAAUGGGGAACUCCAGGUGUAGCGGUGAAAUGCGCAGAUAUCUGGGGGAAGGCCGGCGGCGAAGGCGCCAUUCUGGCUGAUUCCUGACACUGAGGCGCGAAAGCGUGGGGAGCAAACAGG